UUUUUCGCUAUUUAUUAUUAUUUUAAAAAAACUUCAGAUAACACCCGUGUGUUUCGCAGUAUCUCACUUUAGUAUUCUAUAAUUUAAAAUAUAUCAAUUUAGUAUUUCGUAAUUUUAUCUUUCUUUUUUUAUGAUUUUCUCUACUAAUUUUUUUCAUUAAAUCAGUGAACUAAAAAAAUACUAAAGUAAAUAUUCAAUAAACUUAUAUGGGUAUCUAAAGCUUUUUAUAUAUAAUGUAACGAAAUGUUAACGAGAAGCGAACGAAAAGAAAAAAAAAAUAACAGAAUAUUAAAUUGAUAUAUUUUAAAUUAUAGAAUACUAAAACAAAAAAAUAUGAAUCUAUAGGGAUGGUAUUUGAAGUUUACC
rnacentral:lncRNA from 1 species